rnacentral:lncRNA from 1 species
GCACGGGGUAGGGAAGUUGCUAUUGCACCCAAGUAACAAAGAACACAGAGAGACCAACAGGACGCAUGGCAGAACUGCAUAGAAGAUCGCUCAGGGCUCACGUCAGGAAGGCGCAGGAAUUCAGAAAACUCUAAAGCUUGGAAAUGCUAUCGUUUGUGCCACAAAGAUUACCCUGAAAAGGUAGAGAGAGGUCAAAAAGCAGAACCAAAUUGGGGAUUUUCAAAGGCUGCUCUCUAACAGAGUUUAAAAUAUCCGUAAACAUAAGUGCUUCUGCUCCCUCCCCUUGCCUUCAGCAUCUGGUAAACACUUUAGAAACUUAAACCACUGUUAGCAUGUCAGAAUGUAGAAAGGCUGUAGGUUUUUCUUUCUUCUCAUCUUGUACCCCAAACAACAACUCUACUGGCAAUUGUAAU